AGCGAACGCUGGCGGCAGGCCUAACACAUGCAAGUCGAACGAAGUCUUCGGACUUAGUGGCGGACGGGUGAGUAACACGUGGGAACGUGCCUUUUGGUUCGGAACAACUCAGGGAAACUUGAGCUAAUACCGGAUGAGCCCUUAGGGGGAAAGAUUUAUCGCCGAAAGAGCGGCCCGCGUUAGAUUAGCUAUUUGGUGAGGUAAAGGCUCACCAAGGCUACGAUCUAUAGCUGGUCUGAGAGGAUGAUCAGCCACACUGGGACUGAGACACGGCCCAGACGCCUGCGGGAGGCAGCAGUGGGGAAUCUUGCGCAAUGGGCGAAAGCCUGACGCAGCCAUGCCGCGUGAAUGAUGAAGGUCUUAGGAUUGUAAAAUUCUUUUACCAGGGACGAUAAUGACGGUACCUGGAGAAAAAGCCCCGGCUAACUUCGUGCCAGCAGCCGCGGUAACAC
rnacentral:rRNA from 1 species